UAGGGAAUCUCCACAAUGGACGCAAGUCUGACGGAGCAACGCCGCGUGAGUGAAGAAGGUUUUCGGACCGUAAAGCUCUGUUGUUGGUGAAGAAGGAUAGAGGUAGUAACUGGCCUUUAUUUGACGGUAAUCAACCAGAAAGUCACGGCUAACUACGUGCCAGCAGCCGCGGUAAUACGUAGGUGGCAAGCGUUGUCCGGAUUUAUUGGGCGUAAAGCGAGCGCAGGCGGAAGAAUAAGUCUGAUGUGAAAGCCCUCGGCUUAACCGAGGAAUUGCAUCGGAAACUG
rnacentral:rRNA from 1 species